CUGAUUUCAUCAUCAUUUAAAAAAAUCAUCUAUAUUUUUCACUUUAUGUUUCUGUGUGGGUGCAAACUGUUGAAAUCCAUACUUGAUGUAUACUAAGCUGAUCUUCUGUAUAUAAAGAGAAUCGAAAAUGAAUCUUGAUGUGAAUGGAAGGGGAGAGGGAGUGGGAAAGGGGAGGGUUGUGGGUGGGAGGGACGGUAUGGGGGGGAAGCCAUUGUAAUCCAUAAGUCGUACUUUGGAAAUUUAUAUGCAUUAAAUAAAAGUUAAAAAAAAAAAGAAAUCUGAAAAAAAAAAAGAAAAAAAAAUAACAUCUACAACAGUAACUAAGAGGGCAAGUUAUUGUGAGCUAAUCAAAUUAAUGAAAAAUAAUGAGUCAUCUGAACCCAUUGAAAAAAAGACAAAUUUAUUGCUGAUUAGACAUGGUUACUGACUUCGAUGAGGACAAAAUGAAACUCAUAAUAACAUCAAAGUAAUGAAGAUACGUGGAACAAACUGGUAAUAAGUCUUGUCAACUCAUAGUAUAUGAGAAAGUCAGUGUACUAGAACAUCUGUAAUACCUAAAUCUUAUUUAUUUGCAAGGAACUUCAUAAAAGCUUUCCAAAUUGUGAAACAAUCUAAAGAUUUUCAUCACUAUCAAUAGCAACGCGUGAAAAUUAAAAUUUCCUAAAUUAAUAAUAAAUGAUAUGAAUAAUAAUAAUUUAGUAAUCAUAAAAUUAUGUUAAGAGAUCAUUGAUUUUGCUGAUUUUCUGACAUUUGUGUCAGAUUUUACAUUUAUGAUGUAUUUUAUCAUUCAGAUACAUGAACAGAUACAGAGAAAUCCAGUAGAAUUUAGGACUUACAAAAAAAGUAAAGUAGAAAGUCAAUGAAAAAUUGAUAUUUCCCAGCAAACCUUGGAAGACUUCCCAAAUUGGAAUUAACAAGAGCUUGGCCAGCAUAGACACUGUGGUUGUUACUGGGAUAAUUUAUUGAAAACUCUAAGCAGGCCAGUUCGAAAAGCCACUUGGACUGUGGACACGUGUGGCAUCAGCAGCAAUAUGGAAAUUAGAUUCAGAAGAAUAUUAUCUUCAAGAAGUGAAGGAUAAACAAUUGUUUAUAUACUAUCUUGUAUCAGUAAACAUUUAGGGAAAAAGAUAAA
rnacentral:lncRNA from 1 species